ACAAACAAUGACACCUUUGCACCAGAGGAUCCAUGUUUCUUUUGUGAUGUUUGCUUCAGAAUGCUCCACUAUGAUUCCGAAGGCAACAAACUAGGGGAAUUCCUUGCUUAUCCUUAUGUUGACCCAGGAACCUUUAAUUAAUACCACUAAAAUAUAUAUACAUAUUUUUCCUACUGCAGUUUAGUUAAAAUUACAUUAUUUAUUACAAGGGGUUAUGGCUUUUUACUUCAGUUGUUUGUUACUGAGAUGUAGAAAUGUUUUGAAUAUAUAAACAUUGUCAGAAACACAACUUCUGAUUCUUUUCUCUUGAGUCCUAUGCAUUUUGUACCCUGAGUGGACUUUGCUAAUGAAAGAAUGCAGUUAAUAAUGCAUCCUCUGGGGUAGUCUAUUGAAAGAAAUCUUUGAAGGAUAUAAGAGCUACUCCUUCUACUGUGAAGCUUCCAAGGUAAAGACCCUUUAAAUAUCUGUAGUAAGGAGGAAUUACAAACAAAUUAUUUGAUAAGCAACACAAAAUCAAGAAGAGUUACAAUUUAACAUUGGGCUUUUAUCUUUAAAGCAGACAUUAGGCACACGAGAUGACAAAAUGAAUCUAAGUCACACAGUAUAAGUGAGGCCUCAUUUCUUGAAAGAAUCACAGAGAUAGGUGCACCAAGUUUUGAUUGUCAUUUAAAGCCAUGGCUGGAGAAAACAAUGGCAGACUUACAUUACCAUGGACAUGUCAAAAUUGCUAAGAAAAGCUUUUUCCUGGCUCAGCUCCUCCAUUCUUCUGUCCCCUUAGCAUAGCAAAGGCUUCUCAUUCUGAGCUAUAGAAAAAGAACACUUCUAAACAAAUCUAACAGAAUAUUUUAUGGAAACUUUUGGGGUAGAAAAUUAUGUGUAUAAUAGUAAUAUAAAAUAGACUUUGAACUAUUACUUUCUCUGUCCUAGGUUUAAAUUAGAUUCAGCCGAAUCCUUUCUCUGGAUGGCUAAGAACAAUUAUCAUAAAUAAACCAAUGAAGCCUAAACAUCUGUUUAAAAGAUUGUGAAGUUUAAAAGAAGGUGAAGCACGUUUCAUGGAUGUAAAUGUUACAAAUCCAGUUAUGGCGACUACAUGGAGCUGACAAGUUCCUGCUUGUGGGUCUCAAGCUACAAUUUUGCUAUUUUCAUAUUCUGACCAUUGAAGCCCAGAUCUGUCUUCACCUGCAUCUUUACUCAGGCACUUACUUUCUUCAGGGUUGUGAUCAUCUCUGUGUGUUUCUGAGCUUGUUGCAUUGUUACCUGAAGUGAAGCGAGUUCAUCCAGUGCCUCAAUGCAUCUGUUCACAUCCUUCAUGACAAAACAGCAAUGUCACAACUGUUAAUUACCACAGCAUCUUGUACUCUACUUCUGAAGAUCUAAAAGCUCUUACGGUGGUACAAAAAUGGCCAGGCCUGGGAAUAACACAUCAGGCAUCACUUUGAUCACACUGUAGGUGAAGACUGUGGCGGUUCCAACAGUACACCAUGCUGAGGACCAUGAAGAUCAUCCAAGGCUGCACACUGUAUCAAAGAUUCCAAUUGCACAGAACAUCUGUCAGUGCCAAGAACAGCAUGGUACUUGUGACAUUACAUAGGAAUUUUGGUUUUUUUUUUUCAUCUCCACCCUAGCCCAGACAGGGUUUCCCUGUGUAGCCUUGGCUGUGAUGGAACUUGCUCUA
rnacentral:lncRNA from 1 species